rnacentral:rRNA from 1 species
UACGAAGGGGGCUAGCGUUGCUCGGAAUCACUGGGCGUAAAGCGCACGUAGGCGGAUUGUUAAGUCAGGGGUGAAAUCCUGGAGCUCAACUCCAGAACUGCCUUUGAUACUGGCGAUCUCGAGUCCGGGAGAGGUGAGUGGAACUCCGAGUGUAGAGGUGAAAUUCGUAGAUAUUCGGAAGAACACCAGUGGCGAAGGCGACACACUGGCCCGUUACUGACGCUGAGGCGCGAAAGCGUGGGGAGCAAACAGG